rnacentral:rRNA from 1 species
CCUACGGGUGGCAGCAGUAGGGAAUCUUCGGCAAUGGACGAAAGUCUGACCGAGCAACGCCGCGUGAGUGAAGAAGGUUUUCGGAUCGUAAAACUCUGUUGGUAGAGAAGAACGUUGGUGAGAGUGGAAAGCUCAUCAAGUGACGGUAAAUACCCAGAAAGGGACGGCUAACUACGUGCCAGCAGCCGCGGUAAUACGUAGGUCCCGAGCGUUGUCCGGAUUUAUUGGGCGUAAAGCGAGCGCAGGUGGUUUAUUAGGUCUGGUGUAAAAGGCAGGGGCUCAACCAUUGUAUGCAUUGGAUACUGGUAGACUUGAGUGCAGGAGAGGUAAGUAGAAUUCCUAGUGUAGCGGUGAAAUGCGUAGAUAUUAGGAGGAACACCAGUGGCGAAGGCGACUUACUGGACUGUAACUGACGUUGAGGCACGAAAGUGUGGGGAGCAAACAGGAUUAGAUACCCUAGAAGUC